AUUUCGUGAUGAGGUCGUCUUCAUAAUAGUUCUUUAAACCUCUUCCACACCUCAUACAAGGAAUCGCCAUCCAACUUUUGGAAGGUAGUAAUCUUGUUCCUCAACUU
rnacentral:snoRNA from 1 species